UCAGGACGAACGCUGGCGGCGUGCUUAACACAUGCAAGUCGAACGGUAAGGCCCCUUUCGGGGGGUACACGAGUGGCGAACGGGUGAGUAACACGUGGGUGAUCUGCCCUGCACUCUGGGAUAAGCCUGGGAAACUGGGUCUAAUACCGGAUAGGACUUCGGGUCGCAUGGCCUGGGGUGGAAAGUUUUUUCGGUGCAGGAUGGGCCCGCGGCCUAUCAGCUUGUUGGUGGGGUAAUGGCCUACCAAGGCGACGACGGGUAGCCGGCCUGAGAGGGCGACCGGCCACACUGGGACUGAGACACGGCCCAGACUCCUACGGGAGGCAGCAGUGGGGAAUAUUGCACAAUGGGCGGAAGCCUGAUGCAGCGACGCCGCGUGAGGGAUGACGGCCUUCGGGUUGUAAACCUCUUUCAGCAUCGACGAAGCGCAAGUGACGGUAGAUGCAGAAGAAGCACCGGCCAACUACGUGCCAGCAGCCGCGGUAAUACGUAGGGUGCGAGCGUUGUCCGGAAUUACUGGGCGUAAAGAGCUCGUAGGCGGUUUGUCGCGUCGUCUGUGAAAACCCGGGGCUUAACCUCGGGCUUGCAGGCGAUACGGGCAGACUUGAGUACUGCAGGGGAGACUGGAAUUCCUGGUGUAGCGGUGAAAUGCGCAGAUAUCAGGAGGAACACCGGUGGCGAAGGCGGGUCUCUGGGC
rnacentral:rRNA from 1 species